rnacentral:rRNA from 1 species
CGAUAGCGAACAAGUACCGUGAGGGAAAGAUGGAAAGAACUUUGAAAAGAGAGUGAAAAGCACUUGAAACCGUCACGGGGGAAGCGGAUUGCGUGAGUGAUGGUGUCGCUUGUUCAGCGCUUUAUUGCGUGCAUUCUGGCGGCGCCGUGCCGGCGUGGCUGGCUGGACUGUGAUUUUGACAGUCUCGGCUGGUGAGGGCUCCCUCGUAUGAGGUGAGGACGCGGGCAAAAUGACGCAAUACGACCCGUCUUGAAACACGGACCAAGGAGUCUAGCACGGCUGCGAGUCGAAGAGUGAUUAAACUCAAGGGCGCAGUGAAAGCGAAAUUAUAAGCAAAUUGGGGAGGCGUUGCGUUUUUAACAAAAUGUCUACCUCGAGCAUUUGUGCUGGGACCCGAAAGAUGGUGAACUAUGCCGGAGUAGGGCAAAGCCAGAGGAAACUCUGGUGGAGGCUCGUAGCGAUGCUGACGUGCAAAUCGCUCGUCGAACUUGGGUAUAGGGGCGAAAGACUAAUCGAACCAUCUAGUAGCUGGUUCCCUCCGAAGUUUCUCUCAGGAUAGCGGGCCGACACGCGUUUGUUGUUUUGUGCGGUAAAGCGAAUGAUUAGUGCAUUUGGGGUACGAAGUACUUCGGGCGAUUCUCAAACUUUAAAUGCGCAAGGGGGUGGCUGCUUAAUUGAGCCUACUCUUUGAAAAACGUCGGCCCUGUGGGCCACUUUUGGUAAGC